rnacentral:lncRNA from 1 species
AUGUCCUGUCCACCCUGUUUCCCCCUCUGUCCACCGUCAUGUCCUAUCCACCCUGUUUCCCCCUCUGUCCACAGUCACGUCCUGUCCACCCUGUUUCCCCCUCUGUCCACCGUCAUGUCCUAUCCACCCUGUUUCCCCCUCUGUCCAUCCUGUCAUGUCCUGUCCCACAUUUUACCCCCUCUGUCCACCCUGUCACGUCCUGUCCACCCUGUUUCCCCCUCUGUCCACCGUCAUGUCCUGUCCACCCUGUUCUACCCCCUCUGUCCACCCUGUGAAGUCCUGUCCACCCUGUUUCCCCCUCUGUCCACCAUGUCCUGUCCACCCUGUUUCCCCCUCUGUCCACCCUGUUCUACCCCCUCUGUCCACCCUGUCAUGUCCUGUCCACCCUGUUUUACCCCCUCUGUCCACCCUGUGAUGUCCUGUCCACCCUGUUUCCCCCUCUGUCCACCCUGUCAUGUCCUGUCCACCCUGUUUCCCCCUCUGUCCACCCUGUCAUGUCCUGUCCACCCUGUUCUACCCCCUCUGUCCACCCUGUCAUGUCCUGUCCACCGUUUUACCCCCUCUGUCCACCCUGUCAUGUCCUGUCCACUCUGUUUCCCCUCUGUCCACCGUCAUGUCCUGUCCACCCUGUUUUACCCCCUCUGUCCACCCUGUUUUACCCCCUCUGUCCACCCUGUUUCCCCCUCUGUCCACCAUGUCCUGUCCACCCUGUUUCCCCCUCUGUCCACCAUGUCCUGUCCACCCUGUUUCCCCCUCUGUCCACCCUGUCAUGUCCCCCGUUUCCCCCAUCCACCCUGUCAUGUCCUGCCACCCGUUUUACCCCCUCUGUCCACCCUGUCAUGUCCUGUCCCACGUUUUACCCCCUCGGUCCACCCUGUCAUGUCCUGUCCCACGUUUUACCCCCUCAGUCCACCCUGUCAUGUCCUGUCCACCCUGUUUCCCCCUCUGUCCACAUUCCUGUCCACCUUGUUUCCCCCUCUGUCCACUCUGAUCUCGGUUUUGUUUUGUUUUAUUUUAUUUUGUUUUAAGAAAAUAAAUUAA